CGCGAAAAUGCAUCGGCCAAAAAAAUGCCCGCCUUCGAAGGCGGGCAAAAUCGCUGCGCUCGUUGCUUGGCCGUUCCGGCGCGCCCUCUCGCGAC
rnacentral:tRNA from 1 species